rnacentral:rRNA from 1 species
AGUAAUCGGUACGGGUUGUGAGAGCAAGAGCCNGGAGACGGUAUCUGAGACAAGAUACCGGGCCNUACGGGGCGCNGCAGGCGCGAAACCUUUACACUGCACGCCAGUGCGAUAAGGGGACUCCAAGUCNGAGGGCAUAGCGCCNUCGCUUUUCUGAACCGUNAGGUGGUUCAGGAACAAG